AAAAAUUUCUACAAUUGAUGAAGAUUCAAUGAAAAUUUUAUGUUAAAAAUUUCUACGAUUGAUGAAGAUUCAUGAUGAAGACUUAAUGAUAUAAAUUUCUACAAAUGAUAAAGAUUAAUGAAGUUUUACCCACGCAAAUAGUUAAAAGCUAAUUUCAAAACGAUUCGAAAUGUCAAUAUCCACGUGACACAUGAACUAGAGAUGAAAAUUGAUAAAGAUCUUAAAUGAAAUUUGUAGAUGAUAAAUGCUAGAAAGGUAUACAAAUUUUAUGUUAUGCAAGUGAUGCUCUUCGUGCAAAAUCAUGCGGGCAUCUUAUCCUGAAUUUUUACAAUUUUAUAAACAAAAAAUUCAAGAGCUUUAUCGAUUGAAGCAUCAAUUUUACAAGAACUUUGGAUAGUUCACUACUUUUGAAGAGGGAAAAAAAUGGAUAAGAAAGGGAUUGAAGUAAUUCAAUAAGAUUAAUUUUAAGCCAGAUUUUUUGGGUAAAAUGAUCCUCGAUUUUGUAGAAAAAUUUCUAAAUUCUUGUAGAAAAAAAAAAAUUCAGAAAGUUUGAAAGAAUGGAUGCAAUAAGAUGAAAAUGAAGCAGUUUUAAUGUAUAAAAAUCAUUAUAUUUUUAGUGGA